CGGCGUGCUUACACAUGCAAGUCGAACGAACCUUCGGGUUAGUGGCGGACGGGUGAGUAACGCGUGGGAAUCUGCCCUCAGGAGGGGGAUAACGGUUGGAAACGGCCGCUAAUACCCCAUAUGCCGAGAGGUGAAAUGAAUUUCGCCUGAGGAUGAGCCCGCGUCUGAUUAGCUAGUUGGUGAGGUAAGAGCUCACCAAGGCAUCGAUCAGUAGCUGGUCUGAGAGGAUGAUCAGCCACACUGGGACUGAGACACGGCCCAGACUCCUACGGGAGGCAGCAGUGGGGAAUUUUCCGCAAUGGGCGAAAGCCUGACGGAGCAACGCCGCGUGAGGGAUGAAGGCCUCUGGGCUGUAAACCUCUUUUAUCAAGGAAGAAGAUCUGACGGUACUUGAUGAAUAAGCCACG
rnacentral:rRNA from 1 species